rnacentral:rRNA from 1 species
AUUGAACGCUGGCGGCAUGCCUUACACAUGCAAGUCGAACGGCAGCACGGGUGCUUGCACCUGGUGGCGAGUGGCGAACGGGUGAGUAAUACAUCGGAACAUGUCCUGUAGUGGGGGAUAGCCUGGCGAAAGCCGGAUUAAUACCGCAUACGAUCCACGGAUGAAAGCGGGGGACCUUCGGGCCUCGCGCUAUAGGGUUGGCCGAUGGCUGAUUAGCUAGUUGGUGGGGUAAAGGCCUACCAAGGCGACGAUCAGUAGCUGGUCUGAGAGGACGACCAGCCACACUGGGACUGAGACACGGCCCAGACUCCUACGGGAGGCAGCAGUGGGGAAUUUUGGACAAUGGGCGAAAGCCUGAUCCAGCAAUGCCGCGUGUGUGAAGAAGGCCUUCGGGUUGUAAAGCACUUUUGUCCGGAAAGAAAUCCUUGACUCUAAUACAGUCGGGGGAUGACGGUACCGGAAGAAUAAGCACCGGCUAACUACGUG